ensembl:lncRNA
CCUCCCGGAUCGCUGCGCGCAGUUCCCGCGCCCCGGGCACCCGCAGGCCGUGAAGGGCGGCUACGCCUCGGCCCGCGCAGCUGGGCUGGGCUGUUUCUCCGAAACUUGCCUCUCUCAUCAUCUCCCCUCUGGGCUCAGAAAGAAGCGAAAACCCCCCUUCCUCUCCACAAUCAGACCCUGCCUGUCAGUACCCCGUCCACUCCAGGGCGCUGGGGAGAGGUGAGCGGAUGGGAGAACCUUUCCGAAUUCGUGGACCCUCCAAGGCAGCAGUCCGCUCCCACCCCCACCCCAGGCUCCAAUGAUCCGCAGCCCCGCGCAUUUCGAAAGGCUUCUCGGCUCGCCGGCGGCCCAGGGCCGCGCGCUAAAGGGGCCGAGCGCCGCUGCCGCUCGCGGGGGUCGCUUCCUCGCUUACACCCGCUCUGCCAAGUCCCCCGGUCCCAUCCCCGCUGCCCAGUGAAGGGGAUCAGGGCAGGGCAGGGAAAAACUAGGAAACCGUGGGUCCAGGGGCGUGAUUGGAGACGAAGGGGACCGUGGAAAUCUACAGAAGGGGAGCGGGGCGCGCGCGGCCUUUCAGGCCACGGUGCGCCCACCGGCCGCGCGCCGGGACCUUUCCCGGAUGCCGAGGAACGUUGCCUUCGCCAUUUCAUCUUCACCCUUGUUAGCGUAGACACUUGUUCUUCUGAAGCUUUUUCUGAUUGGGAAGAAAAGUGUUUUAAAAGCUCAUCUAGGAUCUGCUAUCUGUUUUCCAGACUCUGAGUUUUUUUUUUAAGUUUGCCAAGUCUUUCACCUGGGCCACACCCUAUGCUCGCUCCCCUCCCUCCCGGCCAAAAUUAAGGUCUUCUUGGUUUAUUAAAAUCAUGACUCUGAGAAGAAAGACUAUGAAAAACUUGGUUAUAAGAAAAACUUUGAUGUUCUUAUUUUACUGAGGUAUAAUUAAUAUGACAUAUUAGUUUCAGGUGUACAACCUAAUGAUGUGAUACCUGUAUAUAUUGUGAAAUGAACACCACAAUAAGUCUAGGUAACAUCCAUUGCCACACGUAGUUGCAAAAUUUUUUUUCUCAAGAUGAAACAUUUAAGAUCUAUUCUCUUAGCAGCUUUCAAAUAUGCUAUACAGUGUUAACUAUGGGUUUCCCUUGCAACUCAGUGGUAAAGAAUCCGCCUGACAAUGCAGGAGACACGGGUUCGAUCCCUGGGUCGAGAAGAUCCCCAGGUCGAGAAGAUCCCCUGGAGAAGGCAACCCACUCCAGUAUUCUUGCCUGGCAAAUCCCACAGACAGAGGAGCCUGGCAGGCUACCGUCCACGGGGAUGCAAAAGAACUGGACACGACCUAUCAACUAAACAGCAACAAUUAUUAACUAUAGUCACUGUGUCAUAUACACACCCUUAAGACUUAUCUUUGGAAGAUUGUAACUUUGACUAUCUUCACACCUUUCACCCAACCCCCCACCUUGGCAACCACCAGUCUCUUCUGUCUAUAAAUUCAUUAAAAACAAUUCUACCUGUGAGUGAGAUCAUAUGGUAUUUGUCUGGCUUAUUUCACUUAGCUUAAUAGUCUGUUU